rnacentral:rRNA from 1 species
AGUGAACGCUGGCGGUAGGCCUAACACAUGCAAGUCGAACGGCAGCACAGUAAGAGUUUGCUCUUACGGGUGGCGAGUGGCGGACGGGUGAGGAAUACAUCGGAACCUACUCUUUCGUGGGGGAUAACGUAGGGAAACCUACGCUAAUACCGCAUAUGACCCAGGGGUGAAAGGAGGGGAUCUUCGGAGCUUGCGCGAUUGAAUGAGCCGAUGUGGGAUUGGCUAGUUGGCGGGGUAAAUGCCCACCAAGGCGACGAUCGGUAGCUGGUGUGAGUGGAUGGUCGGCCACACUGGAACUGAGACACGGACCUGGGGCCUACGAGAGGGAGCAGUGGCGAAUGUUGGACAGUAGGCGCAAGCCUGACCCAGCGGGCCCGCGUGGGUUGAGGAGGCGUUGGGGUUGUGAAGCCCUUUUGUUGGUAAAGAAAAGCAGCAGGUUGAUACCCCGCUGUAGUGACGGUACCGGGUGAAUAAGCACCGGCUAACUUCGUG